UGUGCUUGCACACCGUGGUUUUCUUGAGUCGCGAACGGGUGAGUAACGCGUAGGUAACCUGCCUAUUAGCGGGGGAUAACUAUUGGAAACGAUAGCUAAUACCGCAUAAUAUUAAUUAUUGCAUGAUAAUUGAUUGAAAGAUGCAAGCGCAUCACUAGUAGAUGGACCUGCGUUGUAUUAGCUAGUUGGUAAGGUAAGAGCUUACCAAGGCGACGAUACAUAGCCGACCUGAGAGGGUGAUCGGCCACACUGGGACUGAGACACGGCCCAGACUCCUACGGGAGGCAGCAGUAGGGAAUCUUCGGCAAUGGACGAAAGUCUGACCGAGCAACGCCGCGUGAGUGAAGAAGGUUUUCGGAUCGUAAAGCUCUGUUGUAAGUCAAGAACGUGUGUGAGAGUGGAAAGUUCACACAGUGACGGUAGCUUACCAGAAAGGGACGGCUAACUACGUGCCAGCAGCCGCGGUAAUACGUAGGUCCCGAGCGUUGUCCGGAUUUAUUGGGCGUAAAGGGAGCGCAGGCGGUCAGGAAAGUCUGGAGUAAAAGGCUAUGGCUCAACCAUAGUGUGCUCUGGAAACUGUCUGACUUGAGUGCAGAAGGGGAGAGUGGAAUUCCAUGUGUAGCGGUGAAAUGCGUAGAUAUAUGGAGGAACACCAGUGGCGAAAGCGGCUCUCUGGUCUGUCACUGACGCUGAGGC
rnacentral:rRNA from 1 species